rnacentral:rRNA from 1 species
GACGAACGCUGGCGGCGUGCUUAACACAUGCAAGUCGAACGGAAAGGCCCUGCUUUUGUGGGGUGCUUGAGUGGCGAACUGGUGAGUAACACGUGAGUAACCUGCCCUUGACGUUGUGAUAACUUCAGGAAACUGGGGCUAAUACCGGAUAGGAGCUCCUGCUGCACGGUGGGGGUUGGAAAGUUUCGGCGGUUGGGGAUGGACUCGCGGCUUAUCAGCUUGUUGGUGGGGUAGUGGCUUACCAAGGCUUUGACGGGUACCAGGUCUGAGAGGGUGACCGGCCACAUUGGUCCCGAGGUACGGACCAGAACACUACGGGGAGCAGAAGUGGAGAAUAUUGCAAGAUAGCAGGACCCCUGAUCUCGCAGCCUCGCGUGCGGAAUAACGGGCUUCGGUGGCUCAACCGCCUUCGCCUGUGCCGAAGCGUGAGUGACGGUACCGGGUCAAGAACCACCGGCUCACUACGUG